AGGCCAGCUCCUUCGCCUCUUUCUCCAGUCCGUUCACAACGUUGCCUUUCCCUGCAAGAGGUUCUCUCCGGUUGUUUUCAGCGUUGAUGCCAAAGCACACAAUCUCCAAAUUCCAGCUGGUUCCGGCGACGAUGGCAAUGGGGUGGCCUGCCGGGACGACGAAGAGUGUACCACGGCGCAAAGAUGAGCUUACUUUCUGGUAAAUGGGACUGGCCCCCUGUUGCUGCUGCUUCUCUCCAGAGAGGUGAGGACAUACCAUCUCCAAGUACCCUUCUCCUUCGAGCACUGCAGCCACCAUUGUUGACCUUGAGUUAAAGAACGGACCCAUCAUUCCUUCCUGUGGGGAAAAAAAAGUCAGAAUUCCGAAUGAGAUAUUCGAAAAGGAGAUGGGGUUGGGAGGAGAGAGAUAUAUGUACUUGGGUGAUGUUAGCAUAAGAGAUUUCAAUGUCCAUAUCUUUCAGCUGCCUGAAGUCUUCCGCGUCUGCCUCAUGGAGUCGUCCAUAAUUGUUACAAACGGAGGGAUCCUUGUUCAGAAGAUUGAAUACCGGCCGCUUGGAUUCCCCUGAGGUGAAGGGCCAGAUCCCAGCUGCUUCCCCAUGCUGGCCGCCGCUCAAGGCCUGAAUCUGCUCUCCUGAUGCUUUGAUGAAGUGUCCUUUCGUCUGUUGCUGAAACACCCUCUCCA
rnacentral:lncRNA from 1 species